rnacentral:misc_RNA from 1 species
ACACAUCAACUCGUUGAUUCAAAUUGAAUUGCUCAAAAACUAAAAUGAAUAAGACAUGGAUGAAUAAUCGGUCUAUCUAAACUCUGCAAUUAUCUAGAUUAAAAACAAUGAAUUCAAUCAAAUAUUAGUCUACUUUGAACAGUUAUCCAGUUCAACGUAGAAGUGUAGUGCACAGCACUAUCAUAUUAAAGACUAAAGAUCCACACAACAAGACAGGUGAUCGGCAGUGUUUGAUAUUUGGAUUAUCAUUUUCAAUAGCUUUCUCCGCCAUACACGACGCCAUCGUUGCUGCUCUCGGAAUGGGCGGUAUUGCUUGGAGCUUCUUAUUUUUGGGUGAUUCUAGUUUCUUCAAAGAUACAAUCGGCUUCAUUCCAACGUUUCAGUUCUUUGAAUGGCAACAGGAGGAUUAUGAAGACCCAAAAAAAUGCUGCCACCAUAUCGAGGCCCUGUUUAUUAGGCGGGCUUGCCAGACACGCACCUAACUGUAGUAGCAUUCCUACAAUUGGAAGUGGCCAGAACGCAAAGUCAUAAAGCAGAAUGGAAUUUAAGAGUAUUAAUGAAAUGCGGAAUAUACGUUCCCACUUUUCUCCAUUCUGCAAAAGGAAGAUCUUCUUAGUACACAGUAUUGAAAUAGAAGUCCUAGAAAGAUAUUGGAUUUAAGGAUUUUUCUCUUACAUUGAUUAUGUUUUGAAUCGGUUUAUUCUUGAAGAAUGCCAUUUUGUACUGUAAAAGCCAUGAGGCCUGUUUACUCAGCACUGCUUCAACAAAUUUAGAACACUUUGGGCACAAACUAUAUUUUUCUUCUAAAUGUUGUUUGAAAACAUCCAGUUCUAAGUUAUAUUCAUUGUGGUUAGAAGGUUCAAAAUUUGCCAGCUCCAACAUUUUCUUCUCUUCAUUUUUGUUGCACUUCACACAAAGUCCAUUAUUACCAUCCAACCGUUCUGCACUAGAUAGCUUUGAGUAUCGUACAAAAUUCUUUGCUGGGCUUUUAUAUUGUUCAGGUAUCUCAAAGUUGUAAUCCCCAUUCUGUGAAAAGUGUAAGAAAAAACAUGUUUAAUCAAUUCAAUCUAAUAGAAGUGUAAGAACUAAAGACCGUAUGUAUAAAUUUAUUGCCUUUGAUCAAAAAUUUGGAGGCUUUUGGUUUGUAACUAAUGAAAAAAUGAAGAAAACUUAGGCUAUUAUCUGACAAUCUUCGCUACUAGGUACCUUAGUAAAUCCAUUAUGCUGUUCACAAAAAGAGCAGAGCCACCAGUCACGUUGUUGUCUAUAAAUUUUUGAGUCAUUAUUGCAGAACCAGCAAUUCACUUUGACAGGCCAUCUGUUCCUGGGAACAUUUCAAUUGGAGCAUUAUAUAUACAUCAAGGAGAAUACAAUGAAUCGAAC